CACGCUUCAGCGCGCCUCCAACUCUCCAGACUCCAAAUUCUCCAACCAUUCCACUUCCACCGUUCACCGGAAUCACCGCGCGUCGUUGAGAUUUUAGGGUCAGCGGUUCAGCGCGCCUCUGCAGUCGCGUCGUCCUUCGUUCGCCUCCGCAUCUGCCGCCAUUUGCCACCACCGACCCGACACCACCUCCAGCCAUCGGUCCGCGUCGUCAGCUCCUCCACUCGCGGCAGUCGGCACUAGGUCCGCCACCACCUCUGGCCGUCGGCUUCUUAAAACCCGUGCUUGCCAUCAAUCAUUCAUAGGUAAUCUCUUCAUCCUUAAUCCUUAAUCUCUAUUCAUAGGUUAUUUACUCAAUUUUUUUUUGUUUCUAUUUUGGAUGAGUUUGUUUUUGAAUGUGGUGGAAUUUGCUGUCAGUUCUUUGCAAGGUCUACUUGAUUUUGCACAGAUGGUUUUGAUUAUGCUUUUAACUGAUUGAGGUCCCUUUAUUUAAAGAUUCCACUCGCUAGCUCUCGUUCUGAUAAAGGAAAAACUGAUACGCCUAAGUAAAAUCAAUUGUGCAGAGAGAGUCACACACACAAAUAUGAUCUAUUCACGUGAAGUCUUCUCGGCAAGUUUGGAUAGAGUCAAUCGGUUCUAACUUCUAAUGGUUUCAAUUCAUCCAUCACAAACUAAUAAUUUUUUAUUAGAGUAAAAAUAUUGAUAGUUUAAAUUAUUUAUAUAUGAGUAUUACGGAUAGUACAGAUUUUUAUGUAUUUAUGUAAAAAUGAUGCCUUGAUCUUGAUAAAGGAAAAAUUAGGAUAAAAUAGUGAAAUGAUUAGUUUAAACUUAGUUUAACCUUUCGUUUAAGUUUAAAUUAAUAAACAUUGGAAUUGUUUGCUUAUUGUUGUAGGUGUUAAAGAUGGUAUACUCAUUUCCAAGUGUUGAUAUGGAGAGUGGUGAAGAUGAUGUCAAAAUUCUUGAAGAUUCCAAGCCUAAGAAGAGACAAAUGAUAAUUUCAUGAAAAUUCUUGGAGGACUCAUCUAUGUAUAUUUUAUACAUUAUAUAUUAGAUUAUUAAGA
rnacentral:lncRNA from 1 species